UACGUAGGGUGCAAGCGUUGCCCGGAUUUAUUGGGCGUAAAGGGCGCGUAGGCGGCUCGGCACGUCCGUUGUGAAAUCGCCCGGCUCAACUGGGCGGGGUCGGCGGAUACGGCCGAGCUGGAGCAAGCUAGGGGGUAAUGGAAUUCCCGGUGUAGUGGUGGAAUGCGUAGAUAUCGGGAGGAACACCAGUGGCGAAGGCGGUUACCUGGAGCUUUGCUGACGCUGAUGCGCGGAAAGCGUGGGGAGCGAUCCGGCG
rnacentral:rRNA from 1 species